rnacentral:rRNA from 1 species
CAAUAGCGUAUAUUAAAGUUGUUGCAGUUAAAAAGCUCGUAGUCGGAUUUCGGGUUGGCGCGGUCGGUCUGCCGUUGGGUAUGCACUGACUGUCGCCUUCCUUUCCGGGGUAGAUCGUGCGUUUACUCGUGCGUUUCUCCUCGCGUUUACUUUGAGAAAAUCAGGGUGUUCAAAGCAGGCCUUUGCCAUUGUAUGUGUUAGCAUGGGAUAAUGGAAUAGGACUCUGGUGCUAUUUUGUUGGUUUCGAACGCCGGGGUAAUGAUUAAUAGGGACAGUCAGGGGCACUCGUAUUCCGUAGAGAGAGGUGAAAUUCUUAGACCCACGGAAGACGCACUACUGCGAAAGCAUUUGCCAGGGAUGUUUUCACUGA